GAGUGAGCUUUCACCUACUUAUCCACCCAAAAUUGAGAAUUUCAGAACAUUCGGGGCCCUUCCAGAAGGCCCAUAGAACUUUCACGUCGGAUUAAAGAGUUGAUCAGAAUUCAGCGUAACAACUAACAACUGUACAAGCUGGGAAAUGGCGGAAAAAGCAGGAAAAAGAGGAGUGAAUCAGAGCAUAGAGAAGGUGUGCAGAAGAUGCAAACAGGCAUACACUCCACCUUCUAACAACCCAAAUUCAUGCCGCUUUCAUCCUUCUUUCUUUGUCUGUCGACGUCAUGACGAUCAGAAAAGGUAUUACGAACUAGGACCAGAUGAUCCUCCUUAUGCUGCCAAAUUUUAUGAUUGCUGUGGAGCAGAAGAUCCUGAAGCAAGUGGUUGUACCACCAGUUUCCAUGUUUCAUAUGAUGAUGAGUAGGAAGAUUCUCAUGGUUUGUUAUGUAAACUUUCUGUAAAGUAGAAGCUGUAUAGAGACAAUCUGCAUUUCAGAACCUGAAAUGAAUUUUGCUCUUUGAUCUGAAAUGGACAAUCUCCACAUUGUCUACGUAUCCUAUACAGAGAAAUGAUAGUUGACGGCUGUCACGUAUAUGUUUUUGAUUUUGGGGAUUAGGUGCAUGAGCCAGCUCAUUGGAGAUUCUACUGCACAAAAUAGUUAUAGUAAUAGCUCAGUUUGAUCUUGUCACAAGUUGCAUAGCUGGAUGUGCAGGAACCAACUACACACAACAUUCUCAAAUUUGUUGGUCCAGCCAUGAAUUGUCCUUCAAAACCAAGUUAAAAGACAUUCACAUAUGCUUAUCCUCCUUUUCAUUAAAUGAAGUUGACAAUUCCCUUGUGGCCGUGGUCACCUAUUUACCAAAAUAAAAAUUGAUCCACCAUAUAAGAUACUAUCUUAUUUUGUUUGCUGGAGUAAAUCUUUAGUACAAAAGAUUUGAAUGGCGACAGCAAUGAUCAAUAGUUGGGAGAAGGAUAACAUGCGCCCCACCAAGUGAAAGGCUAAUUGUGGCGUGGUACACCUUGUCUUAGUCUGUCCCCACGUUUUAGCUUUACCUUUUCUUCUCUAGUUUAUUUUAUGGUCAGUGAUUGUUCACUCUCGAAUCUCUUUAAUAUUUUUUUAUUGAUAAGACAUAACUUGUACGUACUUUAAUUAUA